UACGGAGGGUGCAAGCGUUGUCCGGAUUUAUUGGGUUUAAAGGGUGCGUAGGUGGCCCUGCAAGUCCGUGGUGAAAGCCUGCCGCUUAACGGCAGAACUGCCAUGGAUACUACAGGGCUUGAGUCCAGACGAGGUUGGCGGAAUGGAUGGUGUAGCGGUGAAAUGCAUAGAUACCAUCCAGAACCCCGAUUGCGUAGGCAGCUGACUAGGCUGGUACUGACACUGAGGCACGAAAGCGUGGGGAGCCGAACAGG
rnacentral:rRNA from 1 species